rnacentral:rRNA from 1 species
AUACCGGAUGAUGACCUAAGUCCAAAGAUUUAUCGCCCAAGGAUGAGCCCGCGUAAGAUUAGCUUGUUGGUGAGGUAAAGGCUCACCAAGGCGACGAUCUUUAGCUGGUCUGAGAGGAUGAUCAGCCACACUGGGACUGAGACACGGCCCAGACUCCUACGGGAGGCAGCAGUGGGGAAUAUUGGACAAUGGGCGAAAGCCUGAUCCAGCAAUGCCGCGUGAGUGAUGAAGGCCUUAGGGUUGUAAAGCUCUUUUACCAGGGAUGAUAAUGACAGUACCUGGAGAAUAAGCUCCGGCUAACUCCGUGCCAGCAGCCGCGGUAAUACGGAGGGAGCUAGCGUUGUUCGGAAUUACUGGGCGUAAAGCGUACGUAGGCGGUGACUCAAGUCAGAGGUGAAAGCCUGGAGCUCAACUCCAGAACUGCCUUUGAAACUAGGUCGCUAGAAUCACGGAGAGGUGAGUGGAAUUCCGAGUGUAGAG